rnacentral:rRNA from 1 species
CAAUAGCGUAUAUUAAAGUUGUUGCGGUUAAAAAGCUCGUAGUUGGAUUUCUGCUGAGAACGACCGGUCCGCCCUCUGGGUGUGUAUCUGGCUCUUUCUUGGCAUCUUCUUGGUGAACGUUGCUGCACUUGACUGUGUGGAGCGCUACCCAGGACUUUUACUUUGAGGAAAUUAGAGUGUUUCAAGCAGGCAUACGCCUUGAAUACAUUAGCAUGGAAUAAUAAGAUAGGACCUCGGUUCUAUUUUGUUGGUUUCUAGAGCUGAGGUAAUGAUUAAUAGGGAUAGUUGGGGGCAUUCGUAUUUAACUGUCAGAGGCGAAAUUCUUGGAUUUGUUAAAGACGGACUACUGCGAAAGCAUUUGCCAAGGAUGUUUNCAUUG